GAGCAAUGAUGAGUUCCUGUUUGCCUGACUGCCAAAAUGAAGGCUUCUACACUUGAACUGAGCUCA
rnacentral:snoRNA from 1 species